ACUCCUACGGGAGGCAGCAGUGGGAAUAUUGGACAAUGGGGGCAACCCUGAUCCAGCAAUACCGCGUGUGUGAAGAAGGCCUGAGGGUUGUAAAGCACUUUCAGCGAGGAGGAAGUUAAUGUAGUUAAUAGCUAUGUUGAUUGACGUUACUCGCAGAAGAAGCACCGGCUAACUCUGUGCCAGCAGCCGCGGUAAUACAGAGGGUGCAAGCGUUAAUCGGAAUUACUGGGCGUAAAGCGUGCGUAGGCGGAUAUUUAAGUCAGAUGUGAAAGCCCCGGGCUCAAGCCUGGGAAUUGCAUGCUGAUACUGGGUAUGCUAGAGUAUGGUAGAGGAUAGUGGAAUUUCUGGUGUAGCGGUGAAAUGCAGUAGAUAUCAGAAGGAACAUCAGUGGCGAAGGCGACUGUCUGGGCCAAUACUGACGCUGAGGUACGAAAGCGUGGGUAGCGAACAGGAUUAGAUACCCUGGUAGGCUCUG
rnacentral:rRNA from 1 species